UACGGGGGGGGCAAGCGUUGUUCGGAAUUACUGGGCGUAAAGGGCUCGUAGGUGGCCAACUAAGUCAGACGUGAAAUCCCUCGGCUUAACCGGGGAACUGCGUCUGAUACUGGAUGGCUUGAGUUUGGGAGAGGGAUGCGGAAUUCCAGGUGUAGCGGUGAAAUGCGUAGAUAUCUGGAGGAACACCCGUAGCGAAGGCGGCACUCUGGGCCGAUACUGACACUGAGGAGCGAAAGCGUGGGGAGCGAACAGG
rnacentral:rRNA from 1 species